rnacentral:rRNA from 1 species
AUUGAACGCUGGCGGCAUGCCUUACACAUGCAAGUCGAACGGCAGCACGGGUGCUUGGACCUGGUGGCGAGUGGCGAACGGGUGAGUAAUACAUCGGAACAUGUCCUGUAGUGGGGGAUAGCCCGGCGAAAGCCGGAUUAAUACCGCAUACGAUCUACGGAUGAAAGCGGGGGACCUUCGGGCCUCGCGCUAUAGGGUUGGCCGAUGGCUGAUUAGCUAGUUGGUGGGGUAAAGGCCAACCAAGGCGACGAUCAGUAGCUGGUCUGAGAGGACGACCAGCCACACUGGGACUGAGACACGGCCCAGACUCCUACGGGAGGCAGCAGUGGGGAAUUUUGGACAAUGGGCGAAAGCCUGAUCCAGCAAUGCCGCGUGUGUGAAGAAGGCCUUCGGGUUGUAAAGCACUUUUGUCCGGAAAGAAAUCCUUGGCCCUAAUACGGUCGGGGGAUGACGGUACCGGAAGAAUAAGCACCGGCUAACUACGUG